CAACAGAAACCCGUAGAUCCGAACUUGUGUUCCAGAAGACAUCCACAAGCUCGAUUCUAUGGGUCUUAUGUUGU
rfam:Strigamia maritima strain Brora ctg7180001233046, whole genome shotgun sequence.